GAAUAUUGGACAAUGGGCGGAAGCCUGAUCCAGCAACGCCGCGUGAGGGAUGACGGCCUUCGGGUUGUAAACCUCUUUCAGUACCGACGAAGCUGUCCUUUUUGGGGUGGUGACGGUAGGUACAGAAGAAGCACCGGCCCACUACGUGCCAGCAGCCGCGGUAAUACGUAGGGUGCGAGCGUUGUCCGGAAUUAUUGGGCGUAAAGGGCUCGUAGGCGGUUUGUCGCGUCGGGAGUGAAAACAUCCAGCUUAACUGGGUGCUUGCUUUCGAUACGGGCAGACUUGAGGUAUGCAGGGGAGAAUGGAAUUCCUGGUGUAGCGGUGAAAUGCGCAGAUAUCAGGAGGAACACCGGUGGCGAAGGCGGUUCUCUGGGCAUUACCUGACGCUGAGGAGCGAAAGUGUGGGGAGCGAACAGG
rnacentral:rRNA from 1 species